AGAGUUUGAUCAUGGCUCAGGAUGAACGCUGGCGGCGUGCUUAAUACAUGCAAGUCGAACGGAGAGUUUUGUAGUAAUACGAAGCUUCUCAGUGGCGAACGGGCGAGUAACGAGUUGGUGACCUGCCCCGAAGUGUGGGAUAACAGUCCGAAAGGAUUGCUAAUACCGCAUGUGAUCAUCGGUUUUAGAAUCUGGUGAUUAAAGCAGUAAUGCGCUUCGGGAGGGACCUGCUUCCCAUCAGCUAGUUGGUGAGGUAAUGGCCCACCAAGGCUACGACGGGUAAGGGACCUGAGAGGGUGGUCCCUCGCAAUGGCACUGAAACACGGGCCAUACACCUACGGGUGGCAGCAGUAGGGAAUAUUGGGCAAUGGGCGAAAGCCUGACCCAGCAACGCCGCGUGCACGAUGAAGGCCUUCGGGUCGUAAAGUGCUUUUCUGAGGAAUGAGUAAGGACAGUACCUCAGGAAUAAGCUUCGGCUAACUACGUGCCAGCAGCCGCGGUAAAACGUAGGAAGCGAGCGUUAUCCGGAUUUACUGGGCGUAAAGCGUGUGUAGGCGGUUCGGCAAGUUGGAUGUGAAAGCUCCUGGCUUAACUAGGAGAGGUCGUUCAAUACUACCGAACUUGAGGGCAUCAGAGGAAGGUGGAAUUCCCGGUGUAGUGGUGAAAUGCGUAGAUAUCGGGAGGAACACCAGUGGCGAAGGC
rnacentral:rRNA from 1 species